GGCCGCUCCGGUGGCCUAGUGGUUAAAGCGUCCGCCUCGGAUGCGGGAGGGGGUGUGGGUUCGAUCCCCGGUCGAGUCA